AGACCCGAAACCCGGUGAUCUAGCCAUGGGCAGGUUGAAGGUUGGGUAACACUAACUGGAGGACCGAACCGACUAAUGUUGAAAAAUUAGCGGAUGACCUGUGGCUGGGGGUGAAAGGCCAAUCAAACCGGGAGAUAGCUGGUUCUCCCCGAAAGCUAUUUAGGUAGCGCCUCGUGAAUUCAUCUCCGGGGGUAGAGCACUGUUUCGGCCAGGGGGCCAUCCCGGCUUACCAAUCCGAUGCAAACUGCGAAUACCGGAGAAUGUUAUCACGGGAGACACACGGCGGGUGCUAACGUCCGUCGUGAAGAGGGAAACAACCCAGACCGCCAGCUAAGGUCCCAAAGUCAUGGUUAAGUGGGAAACGAUGUGGGAAGGCCCAGACAGCCAGGAUGUUGGCUUAGAAGCAGCCAUCAUUUAAAGAAAGCGUAAUAGCUCACUGGUCGAGUCGGCCUGCGCGGAAGAUGUAACGGGGCUAAACCAUGCACCGAAGCUGCGGCAGCGACACUGAUGUGUUGUUGGGUAGGGGAGCGUUCUGUAAGCCGUUGAAGGUGUGUCGUGAGGCAUGCUGGAGGUAUCAGAAGUGCGAAUGCUGACAUAAGUAACGAUAAAGCGGGUGAAAAGCCCGCUCGCCGGAAGACCAAGGGUUCCUGUCCAACGUUAAUCGGGGCAGGGUGAGUCGACCCCUAAGGCGAGGCCGAAAGGCGUAGUCGAUGGGAAACGGGUUAAUAUUCCCGUACUUGGUGUUACUGCGAAGGGGGGACGGAGAAGGCUAUGUUGGCCGGGCGACGGUUGUCCCGGUUUAAGCGUGUAGGUGUGUGUUCCAGGUAAAUCCGGUUCACU
rnacentral:rRNA from 1 species